UUAGAACACGGAAAUAAAAAUUCAAAUCCCAGAAGGGAACAAACCAGAAAUAACACCAACUCAAACAAAGCUCACUAUGUUAUAGAGAUCUCCCUACAACCGCUCAGUCUACCACUGAAACCAGAUAAGAAGAUCCCCAAAGACGGAUUAACCAACAAGAAAGAGAAGAUGAUAGAAGGGAGGAAAAAGUCCACUUCAAAGCCUGAACUGAAAAGACGACACGAAACUAAGUAUGCUGAA